CACUGAGGAACAUAAAAACCCUCCAUGGUUUGCCAUCCUUCAAGGUUUAAAAAAAGAGAGACAGAAAGCAGAGCAUACAAAUCAAGUUAGAUUCACUAGUAUCCCCAGCUUUAAGGAGAUUGGCAAGGCAUGAAAGACAAUUACUGUUAUUAACCCUACUUGAUGUAUGAGGGAACUGAGGCACAGAGGCUUUAUGGAUAGUGUCUACAAUCAUCCAACUCAUGUCAGAAAGAGAAUGUCAUUCAGCGUGAAGAAAUCCAGGCCUGGGGCUCUUACCAACAAGCUUUGAUCACAGACUGAAUGGAACACAACAAAACCUGUAUAUGAUACAGUGAGUCAAUAACUCCAUAUGUUACACGGUGCUCAUCAAGAAAAAAAAGUGGUUCUCAAACUCUUCAGAAUACUAGAACCUUCUGUGUCUUCCCUGAACCAUGUGGGAUUUUACAAUAAGCUGGCAUCUCAGUAUGCUGAUAUCAUGAAAAUGCAGUGGUGGCAAGACCCAUGAUGAUGUUGACUGACAAAGAAAACCUCAUUAGGAACAAAAGAUAAAUUGCUUCCUUGAGCUUACAUGAUUUCCAGUGCAAGAAAGAGUACAUUCAGAUCUAAGAAACUAUAGCAAAAUGGGUAUUAAUAAAGGCAUCUCUUAGACAUGAA